CUGAAAACCAACACAUUGACAACGCCACCUGGAAUUUGAUUCCCACAGCACAGUGGAAAGGACGCUUUCCCAGAGUGACUGUAAUAUCUGAUGAUAUAGCAAUGAGCAAAAACUAGAAAAGAAACGGGGUUUUAAAAAGUGAAUGGAGAAUCCGUGUAAAUUUCUGCAUGGAAUUUGCAAGAAAGUCGAAUACAGCUCUACACCCAAAAUACUACAAAGAGCGACCCCAUUACUGCAGAGGGCAACCUCGAUACUACAGAGGGCAAGAACAUACAGUAAUGAUCUCAUGGUGGCUUCCAGCUAGAGCGGGUUUUCCGUAAACCUCAAUAUUUACGUUCAAGAGGCG